UGAUUUUUUUAUUCCCUC
rnacentral:snRNA from 1 species